rnacentral:misc_RNA from 1 species
GAUGAAGAACGUAGCGAAAUGCGAUAAGUAAUGUGAAUUGCAGAAUUCAGUGAAUCAUCGAAUCUUUGAACGCACAUUGCGCCCCCUGGUAUUCCGGGGGGCAUGCCUGUCCGAGCGUCAUUACAACCCUCAAGCUCAGCUUGGUGUUGGGCCCCGCCGCCCCGGCGGGCCCUAAAGUCAGUGGCGGUGCCGUCCGGCUCCGAGCGUAGUAAUUCUUCUCGCUCUGGAGGUCCGGUCGUGUGCUCGCCAGCAACCCCCAAUUUUUUUCAGGUUGACCUCGGAUCAGGUAGGGAUACCCGCUGAACUUAAGCAUAUCAAUAAGCGGAAGA